rfam:Gossypium raimondii chromosome 3, whole genome shotgun sequence.
AUGUCAUGAUGAGGACACUUUUGUAAUAACUCCUUGAAUCUCUCCCAUACCUCAUAUAAAGAUUCUUUGUCAAGUUGCUGAAAUGAAGUGAUUUUAUUUCGGAUCUU